AACAGGGUAAGUACAUCGUACACACGGAUCGCAGAUGCCGCCUUGUUUUCGUCAUCCAAUUUCGGAAGCUGAAGCGAUCGAAAGCACAUCCUUGAGGAUUAUGACGCAAUACUUGGAUAUCCAGACGGCCCCGUGCUGCAGCACGCUAACAUUCGAUAGGGUAUUCAGGGUGCGUGAAACGUUUCCAAUGCUCACGUCAUCAAGUGAUCCAUUCAGCUUCCGUAACGCGGUCAGUUAUUACUGCGUUUUUAUCGAAUGAUAAUGAUGAAGAAAUCACGAAGGGAAGAAAGUCGCGAGGGAAAUUAAUUUUUUUUAGCUAGGCAUGUAUAAAUUUUAUUAUACAAAAGUUGCCGACACCCAACACAGCGGAGAGAAGCGCACGUUCAACUGACUAAACUAAAUGAAGUCAAAGCAUCUUUAUACAGAACGGAUCCUACGUACCCUGCAUCACCGCUAACACAACUUCCAUACCAACUAUAAGAUAUGUGAAAUUUACGACUAGCGCGUUCUGAAGAGGUACCCCAAAAAAACUAUAAUACCAUUACCAUCCUCGUUUCAUUGAAUUAAAAGUUUAGAAAAAAAAAUAUACAUAUAUUUAUAGAUAUUACACCACGGGUAACCCUCUGCUGAAUUUUUUUCCGCGAUGAAAAAUAGUAAUACGAAAAAAGAACAGCAAAACAAAACUUUGACACCGUGAUUUUUCAAAUCAUUUUCACAAGAUCCCAAAAAUUUUUUCUUCCGUGUUACUCAUCCAUCCGGUUUUCAGCCCUUCACACGUAGGAAUUAUUUAGAAAGAAAAGAAGUUUUCGAAUACCAAAUUUUUCACAGAUUUCAUGUUUCUUUUCAUAAUCCUCUGGUUUCAUUUCAUUUCUUUCUUUAUUUGUUUGAUUUUUUUUCUCAUGUUUCUCUCAAACGCGAAUACCCAUUUGCGCGAUCCGCCCCCGCUGCUGAUGGGUGUGCCAAUAUAAUAAUUCAUUCAUUUCUCUUUUUUUUCGCGUAUAUAUCAAAACGAGUGAGAGUGUAAGUAGUGAUGAUAUUUCAAACACUAUUAAUAGAAUUAUUCUUGGAAUAAUUUUUUCCACUGUUUCUAUCUAUUCUUUUUUCAAUUUUCUGUUUAAUUUUUUUGCUAUCUCUCUCGGAUUAGGUAUCGACGAGGCGCGACUGGAAUUCAAAAAAAAAAGAAAAAUUAAAUAUUAUACAGGAUGCGAGGAGGUACAUACGUGUAAAAUCGAUCUUCUCGCGAACGAGCCGACUAUAUAGUUAAAUAAAAACUUGGAUAUUAAAA